rnacentral:rRNA from 1 species
GUGUCAGCAGCCGCGGUAAUACGUAGGCAGCGAGCGUUGUUCGGAGUUACUGGGCGUAAAGCGUGCGUAGGCGGUGUCCUAAGUCUGGUGUGAAAUCUCCCGGCUCAACUGGGAGGGUGCGCUAGAAACUGGGAUGCUGGAGUGUGGGAGAGGUAAGCGGAAUUCCUGGUGUAGCGGUGAAAUGCGUAGAUAUCAGGAGGAACACCUGCGGUGUAGACGGCUUACUGGACCAUGACUGACGCUGAGGCACGAAAGCGUGGGGAGCAAACAGGAUUAGAAACCCCUGUAGUCC